UACGUAGGCAGCAAGCGUUGUUCGGAAUUACUGGGCGUAAAGGGCGCGUAGGCGGUGCGUUAAGCCAGAUGUGAAAGCCCUGGGCUCAACCCGGGAAUUGCAUUUGAUACUGGCGCGCUAGAAUCCAGGAGAGGUUGGUGGAAUUCCCAGUGUAGAGGUGAAAUUCGUAGAGAUUGGGAAGAACACCGGUGGCGAAGGCGGCCAACUGGACUGGUAUUGACGCUGAGGCGCGAAAGCGUGGGGAGCAAACAGG
rnacentral:rRNA from 1 species